rnacentral:lncRNA from 1 species
AUCAUAGGUGUGAGCCACUGUGCCCAGACAGCCAUCCUCAAAUGGACGGAGUCACGUUCUGUUGCCUGGGCUGGAGUGCACUGAUGCAAUCUUGGCUCACUGAAAUCUCUGCCUCCCAGGUUCAAGCGAUUCUCCUGCCUCGGCUUCCUGAGUAGCUGGGACUACAGGCACCCGUUACCACGCCCAGCUAAUUUUUGUAUCUUUAGUAGAGACGGGGUUUCACCAUGUUGGCCAGGCUGGUCUUGAACUCCGGACCUGGUGAUCCACCCACUUCGGCUUCCCGAAGUGCUGGGUUUACAGAUGUGUCUCUAUGUUGUCUCCUAGAGUGGGUAGUCCUGCUUCUUUUACCCAGUUACUUUCCCGUUUUUGAAAUGUGGCUAUCACUUCUCUACACAUUACCUCCAUGAUUUGGAAUGGAAAAGGCCACUUUUCUUUUUGUUCUGCCUCUCAAAUUCAACACAGAGGAGCUCCUAGGAUUCCAGUUAUCCUGCUAACAUCUCCAGGAAGAAAGAAGCAACUCACAUGGGUCUUUUGCUGUUUGCUUAAUUAUAAAGACAUCAUUUUGCAAGCAGAAGGCUGAGUUUCAUUUGAAACAGGUGCUUAGGUGGUGGUAUUUGUGAAUACUUUUCAUUCCAAGCAAGAAGACUAAAGAAGUAGCAAGUAUGAAUGACUUCAGGGUUUAAAAAAAAUGUCUUCCAGUUUCAGCCACUACCAUGAUAAGCACAGUUGAGACUGCAGCAGUAAAUUCCAAAUAUGUGUUUCUAAUUUGACGUGAAAGAUACUAAAAAUUUAUAUUUGUAUAUUUAAAUCCUGGCUCAUCCUGUGACAUAGAUUUACUGAAUAGGAACAAAGGCCCAAUUUUAAACAAAAACCUAGGCCGGGUGUGGUGGCUCACACCUGUAAUCCCAACACUUUGGGAGGCCAAGGCAGGCAAAUCACCUGAGGUUGGGAGUUUGAGACCAGCCUGACCAACAUGGAGAAACCCCAUCUCUACUAAAAAUAGAAAAUUAGCCAGGUGUGGUGGUAGAUACGUGUAAUCCCAGCUACUCGUGAGGCUGAGGCAGGAGAAUUGCUUGAAUCCGGGAGGCGGAGGUUGCAGUGAACUGAGAUUGCACCACUGCACUCCAGCCUGGGCGACAGAGUGAGACUCCGUCUCAGAAAAAUAAAAAACAACUUUGGACAUAGAGGAGUUGGGGGCAGAGGGGGGAGGAUGAGAGAAUUUUCCAUGUAACUCCUUUUCCUUAAGAAAAAGAAGCAAAAAUCCCUCAUGCAGUGCCAUCUGACUUUAUGGUGUUUCACAUUAUAUAGUUACUUUUUUUAAUAAACGCAUAAGAUUAACUCUUCCUGCAACCCAAGGUGGAUACUUGGAUGUUUGAUUUUUAUUUAUUUAUUUAUUUAUUUUUUGAGGCAGUCUCUCUCUGUUGCCCAGGCUGGAGUGAUGCGUGAUUUCUGCUCACUGCAGUCUCUCCCACCCGGGUUCAAGCGAUUCUCCUGCCUCAGCCUCCCAAGUAGCUAGGAUUACAGGCGCGCACCACCACGCUCAGCCUGAUUUCUAGGCUGAAAAGGCUGGGACUCAGGUACUUUCCCCAGUUGGGACUGAACUUUCUCAUCAGAGAAUGGGCCUCAGAAGCAAUGUUCCCAAACUUGUGGUUGGGUCAUCGUGGAAAAGAAACCUCAAAUAAGAAAAAUAAUUACAAUAAGAAAUGGAUUUUCUUUUUUCCCACAACAGUUAUACAUUAUAAAGAACAGACUGUCGUAGAAAACUGUCUUUGCUUCCAAAUCAGCAGAGGACCAUUGUAUGUAUUGUCAGGUCUUUAUAUAAGAGUGAAACCUUUAUUUAUGCUUCUUGUGAGUAGAG